UUUCUUAAUCAUCUUCAGAAACAAUAAAACGAUCCAUUAAUUCACUUCAAUAGAGGCCAACAAUCCAUAACCAUGCCCACAACUCUCAUACUCGAAGCCAGUCCCGUCACCUCCUUCAAAUGGAAUCACCGCACCAGCUUCCUCACUAAACCCCCUAAGCUCUCUCCAAUCCUCUACACCAAACCCCCACACUCUCCCUCAUACACCCUCAAAUGUUUCUUCUCCCCAAAUCACAAUCACAACCACAACCAAAACACCUCCUCCUCCAAAUCUCCUUUCGAUGUUCUCUUAGACACUUUAUCAAACACCUUGACCGCGUUGCGGAAACCCGCCAUAGCCGCCGUGUUGAUGGGGCUGCUUCUAAUGUACGACCCCAACGCUUCUGCUUUGGCCGCAUCUGGGGGUCGAAUAGGUGGUUCUUCCUUCUCUUCACGUUCUUCUUCUUCUUCUUCAUCGUCGAGAAGUUACUCUGUGCCUAGAACUUCGGCACCUACGCCGGGCUUCUCUUACUCUGCGCCCUAUUACGCACCUUCUCCCUUCGGUUUUGGCGGUGGCGGGAUUUACGUUGGACCCGCCGUUGGGGUGGGUGCAGGCUCUAGCUUGUUCCUCAUAUUUGCUGGUUUCGUUGCCUUCAUUUUGGUCUCUGGAUUUCUUUCCGAACGGUCAGAGGGUAGUGUACUCACCGCAGCUGAGAAAAUGACCGUGCUCAAGCUUCAGGUUUGGUCAAGUUGCUCACAUGAAUUACGUGAACACAAAGUGUUGGCGCUUUCGUUUUGUUUUCUUUUGCUGGCAUUGCCAUGGAUAAUAAUAUAACAUUGCUUCUUGUUUUUUCUGCCAAUGGAAAGUAUGACUUGAUAUAGGCUUAGGCUUGGGAGUUUGCUUAUUAUCUCUUACCAAUGCAUCGUUACAUUGUUGGUUUAGAUUUCUGAACCCAAAGGGUCGUGUGUGUAUGGCUGAAGUGGUUUGCCUUUUGUAAUUGACUCUAUAAAGAGUUGUUUUGUCCAAGGAUUAUUCAUUUUAUGUGAGAUUAAUUAUUGGCACUUUGGUUUAUUGUUGCUUACUUAGUUGAUUGUAGGUAUUGGUAUAAGUGAUUUUCCUUGGCGAAUGAUUCGUUCAAAUGGUUUGCCACUUGUUUCUCUUAAGCUACGUCUCAACUUGAUUAGUAUGAAUGGGUGAAAAAAGAAAAUAGUACUAAGAGUUUUAUAUUUCCCCCUUGAUAGGCGAUACUGCUCAGGUUAAAUUAAUUGGAAUACACGAACUGUGUUCAUAAGUAGAUUAGAUCUAAAAUAUUACUCUCCUACUUAUGUCUUGACGUUUGAUAAUUGAUAGUUGAAAUUUUUCUUUGAUUUAGGCUAGUUUUUGGAUUUCUCAACCAAAGUGUGUGCGUGAAAGACUGUUAUUUGAAUUAGUAUCUGACAAUGCUUGUUUGUCAGCUUUCUCUUGAAGUGUGAUUUCAUUAAUGAUUCUUAAAUCUUUGGUAAAUAUUAAUGGAGGAGUUGUUCCUUCAGGUUGGAUUGUUGGGGAUGGGUCGCACGCUUCAGAGGGAUUUGAAUAGGAUUGCAGAAGUUGCUGAUACAUCAACUCCUGAAGGUUUGCGUUUUGUAUUGACAGGUGAGGCUCCUUAAUAUGGGAUUUUUUUCGUCACUUGUGUUUUAUUUGUUUUGUAGCACAGGUGAUUAUGGUAUAUCUGGUUUACCUAUCAUGUGAACAUGAUUAGUAUCUUGUAUAUAUUGUUUUUCAAAGAAAUAUGCUCUGACAAAGGAUUGAUGGCUUAUUUUAGUGAAAACGAGUGUUAUAUAAUUUUAGUUUCCCCUCUUCUUAGCACUAGAACUUAUGAUUAUGAACUUUGCUAAAUCCGUAACUAUUUCAAAAUUUGGGUCACUCCUAUGAUUUCAUAUGUAAUGUACCUUAUGGUGACUCUCUGAUCAUCUUUCUGCGUUUGUUAUGUGGUGUAACAUACAUCAAGAUGGCUAUAUGAUCUUUCUAUUCUAAUGUACUUUUCUAUCUGAUUUUCUUUACAGAGACCACUCUAGCUUUGCUUCGACAUCCUGAUUACUGUAUUUCAGCAUACUCAGCUGUAAGUGACUUUUAUGUCUAAUAUACUGCAUUGCUAUCUUGAUAUUAAUGCAAACAACUAAGUUCUAUUGUUCUGUUAGUUGUGCUACCUUUUUUUAGCAUAAAAGAGAUGUUUUUUUGGGGGUCUCCACAUGCGUGUUGAGUUGAUUGUAUUGAUCUAAUACCUUUCGGAGUACAUUAUUUUUUCACUUAAUAAAUUAUUUAUUUUUUGAUCUCAUCAUACAACCCCCUAAAAAAUCCUUUUCAACCUUACUCGUGUUCAAUUAUACCCAAAAUUGAUCUUAGCUUGAAGCUUGAACAUCUGUUGCAGUAGCAGUAGACCAAACUGCAACUGAUUUUAACAUAGAUUUCCUUACACAACUGCAGGUGGAUGUAAAGCGGGGUAUAGAAGAUGGGGAGAAACGUUUCAAUCAACUUUCAAUUGAAGAACGAGGAAAAUUUGAUGAAGAGACACUUGUCAAUGUGAAUAACAUAAAAAGGCAAAGCUCAAGAAGCCAGAGAGCAAAUGGUUUUAGCAAUGAGUACAUAGUGGUAACAUUUACUUUCAUAACUAGUUGCUUAAUUUGUGAUUCAAAAUUUUGUAUUGCAGCAUACAAAGCAGUUAAUUUGAUGCAUUUUACUGUUCUUUAUUUCUGUUACUAAAUAAUUUUGAAACCAAGGCAGCAUAAUCAAACCAUAUUGUAACGACUUAAAUUAUUUUCAUUGGUGUUUUUUAGAAACCACUGGUUCUAUGGUGGUGUUUGGUGGUAAACAUGGCAUACUUCAGUGUGGUCACGGGUCACCACUUGUUGGAUAAUUAUGAUGUUUUAAUUGCUUCUUACUGUAACAUAUGCAUUAAGAACGACUAUAGACUGUAAGUUCUAGUUGAGAGUUGAAACUUUGGUUCUUCCUUUACCUCUCUUGAUAAUUGUGUGGUUGUAAUGACUAAUGAUUCCUUCAUGUUGUCCCCAGCUUUGGUGGUUACUGAUCUCACUUUUUAAUCAUAGUGUCUCUUUCUUGUAAAUGAUAUCGGUCUACAUUAAUUGGCUUACAUCUCACCUUCAUUCAAUAGGAACGGAAGUGGGCAACUGAGGCUAGCUCAGUUGGUGUCGGNNNNNNNNNNNNNNNNNNNNNNNNNNNNNNNNNNNNNNNNNNNNNNNNNNNNNNNNNNNNNUGUAAAAAAUUGAAAAUAAAAUUAUUUUAAAAAAAUAAAAUAAAAAACGAAAUCUAAACCUGUUCUUAACAAUUCCCUUCUCUCUUUCCACAAUAAGAUGUCAGAUAUGGGUGAAACACUGAAGCUGGUGAAAACUAUGCUAAAUUUAAAGGUCUAGGUUGGAAAAAUGUUUAAUUGGGAGCAAAAAAACAUAUGUACACAAAAAUCGCGGAAUUUAGCCAUUUUGUAUAUCAACAUAUACCGCUGUACAGGUAUAACAGUUUAUGUACGUUUGCAAUUUAUACACAAACCGCAACACUUUUAUCGCGGAUUUACGUUCAUUUAUAAACCGUAGAUUCCCUAUCACGGUUUACAUGAUUUAUAAAAAAAAUAAAUUUUAGUAUUCGUUUUGUAAAAAAAGUUAAAUUAUUUAUUUUGAUAAAUUACCUUAAAAAAAUAUAUGUAGUAAAAACAAUAAUCAUUUUUCAUAUCCAAAUAGAAAAAGUAGACCUAUAAGAAGAAGAAAAGGAAAGAAUGAGGGUUAAGGAUCUUCGAUUAUUUGUACAAUCAAAUGUUGGUUCGAUCACAAAUAGAAAACGCAUAAAGAAUACAAAAAAUACCAAAAAAAAAAUUGAAAAAGAUAAUAGAAAGAAGACUCACAUACCAUAAUGCUUUGUUCUUAUUUUGUGCUCAAAGCCUCAAACAUGUUAGGUACAAUAAUUGGAAUUUCAUAUCCUAACAACACGAUAGGAUUUAGCAGAUAUGUUCAAUGUUGCUAAAACAAUUUUUUCUUUCAGGUCAAAGGUGGGGUAGUGGUUUAUGUUUUUUUUUAACUCACAUUUUGUUGUUGGAUAAUAGUUAAUCACUUAAUCUAAUCAAAUUAAUUUCCAGUUAAACAGAAAUAAACUCUUAUUUUCGCCCAAAAUAUAACAAUGCAACCUCUUAAAAUAGUAAAUUCCUUGAUUUUUAUUUUAAGAUAUCAAUUUUAGCUACUAAUAAUUAAAAAAAUUGUUAGAAUUAUUUUUUCUAGGGUCAUGGGGUGAACUAGAAAGAGAGUAUAAGUUGAUAAUUGAUAAUGACAAAGAUUUUAGGAAAUCUGGAGAAUGAAUGAAUGAUAAGAUGAGGCUCAGAAGGCAUGGCCCAUUACUGCCUAGCUGGCCGAAUAACGCCCCCACUUCUCCCUCCUCCAUCCCAUUCACAUAACCGUCUUUCUCCAAACCUCCUUUCCAUUUCUUAAUCAUCUUCAGAAACAAUAAAACGAUCCAUUAAUUCACUUCAAUAGAGGCCAACAAUCCAUAACCAUGCCCACAACUCUCAUACUCGAAGCCAGUCCCGUCACCUCCUUCAAAUGGAAUCACCGCACCAGCUUCCUCACUAAACCCCCUAAGCUCUCUCCAAUCCUCUACACCAAACCCCCACACUCUCCCUCAUACACCCUCAAAUGUUUCUUCUCCCCAAAUCACAAUCACAACCACAACCAAAACACCUCCUCCUCCAAAUCUCCUUUCGAUGUUCUCUUAGACACUUUAUCAAACACCUUGACCGCGUUGCGGAAACCCGCCAUAGCCGCCGUGUUGAUGGGGCUGCUUCUAAUGUACGACCCCAACGCUUCUGCUUUGGCCGCAUCUGGGGGUCGAAUAGGUGGUUCUUCCUUCUCUUCACGUUCUUCUUCUUCUUCUUCAUCGU
rnacentral:lncRNA from 1 species